GAUGAACGCUGGCGGCGUGCCUAAUACAUGCAAGUCGAGCGAACGGGCGCGAAUCUUGCUUCUCUGAUGUUAGCGGCGGACGGGUGAGUCACACGUGGAUAACCUACCUCUUAGACUGGGGUAACUUCGGGAAACCGGAGCUAAUACCGGAUAAUAUUUUUAACCUCAUGGUUCAAAAGUGAAAGACGGUCUUGCUGUCACUUAUAGAUGGAUCCGCGCUGCAUUAGCUAGUUGGUAAGGUAACGGCUUACCAAGGCAACGAUGCAUAGCCGACCUGAGAGCGGGAAGGGGCACACUGGAGGUGAGACACGGCCCAGACACUGAGAGGAGGCAGCAGUAGGGAAUCUUCCGCAAGGGGGGAAAGCCUGACGGAGCAACGCCGGGUGAGUGAUGAAGGUCUUCGGAUCGGAAAACGCUGUUAGUAGUGAAGAACAUAUGUGUAAGUAACGGUGCACAUCGUGACGGUACCUAGACAAAAAGCCACGGCUAACUACGUG
rnacentral:rRNA from 1 species